UCAACGUCGGUUGGUGAGACGGAGCAAAGGACUGAAAAUCCUUGUGUCGGCGGUUCGAUUCCGUCCUGAACCA
rnacentral:tRNA from 1 species